UACGUAGGGUGCAAGCGUUGUCCGGAAUUAUUGGGCGUAAAGAGCUCGUAGGCGGUCUGUCGCGUCGGCUGUGAAAACCCGGAGCUCAACUCCGGGCCUGCAGUCGAUACGGGCAAACUGGAGUACUGCAGGGGAGACUGGAAUUCCUGGUGUAGCGGUGAAAUGCGCAGAUAUCAGGAGGAACACCGGUGGCGAAGGCGGGUCUCUGGGACGGUACUGACGCUGAGACGCGAAAGCGUGGGGAGCGAACAGG
rnacentral:rRNA from 1 species